AUUGAACGCUGGCGGCAUGCUUUACACAUGCAAGUCGAACGGCAGCGCGGGCUUCGGCCUGGCGGCGAGUGGCGAACGGGUGAGCAAUAUAUCGGAACGUACCCAGAAGUGGGGGAUAACGUAGCGAAAGUUACGCUAAUACCGCAUACGAUCUAAGGAUGAAAGUGGGGGACCUUCGGGCCUCAUGCUUUUGGAGCGGCCGAUAUCUGAUUAGCUAGUUGGUGAGGUAAAGGCUCACCAAGGCGACGAUCGGUAGCUGGUCUGAGAGGACGACCAGCCACACUGGGACUGAGACACGGCCCAGACUCCUACGGGAGGCAGCAGUGGGGAAUUUUGGACAAUGGGGGCAACCCUGAUCCAGCAAUGCCGCGUGAGUGAAGAAGGCCUUCGGGUUGUAAAGCUCUUUUGUCAGGGAAGAAACGGUUCUAGCUAAUAUCUGGAGCUAAUGACGGUACCUGAAGAAUAAGCACCGGCUAACUACGUGCCAGCCGCCGCCGUAA
rnacentral:rRNA from 1 species